AGAACGAACGCUGGCGGCAUGCCUAACACAUGCAAGUCGAACGGACGUCUUCGGACGUUAGUGGCGCACGGGUGCGUAACGCGUGGGAAUCUGCCCUUAGGUUCGGAAUAACAGUUAGAAAUGACUGCUAAUACCGGAUAAUAGACUUCGGUCCAAAGAUUUAUCGCCUAGGGAUGAGCCCGCGUAGGAUUAGCUUGUUGGUGAGGUAAAAGCUCACCAAGGCGACGAUCCUUAGCUGGUCUGAGAGGAUGAUCAGCCACACUGGGACUGAGACACGGCCCAGACUCCGUACGGGAGGCAGCAGGUAGGGGAAUAGUGGAACAAGUGGGGACAAAGCCUGAUCCGAGCAAUGCCGCGUGAGUGA
rnacentral:rRNA from 1 species